CUACGGGACGCUCCAGUGAGGAAUAUUGGACAAUGGUCGAAAGACUGAUCCAGCCAUGCCGCGUGCAGGAUGACUGCCCUAUGGGUUGUAAACUGCUUUUAUACGGGAAGAAAAACACCUACGUGUAGGUGACUGACGGUACCGUAAGAAUAAGGACCGGCUAACUCCGUGCCAGCAGCCGCGGUAAUACGGAGGGUCCAAGCGUUAUCCGGAAUCAUUGGGUUUAAAGGGUCCGUAGGCGGGCUAUUAAGUCAGAGGUGAAAGUUUGCAGCUCAACUGUAAAAUUGCCUUUGAUACUGAUAGUCUUGAAUUGUAGUGAAGUGGUUAGAAUAUGUGGUGUAGCGGUGAAAUGCAUAGAUAUCACAUAGAAUACCGAUUGCGAAGGCAGAUCACUAACUAUAUAUUGACGCUGAGGGACGAAAGCGUGGGGAGCGAACGGGAUUAGAUACCCGAGUAGUC
rnacentral:rRNA from 1 species